GGCCUGUCGCCACGGCAGCUCACGCAACAAAUCUGAGCUCGCAGAAGCUGACAAAAAGGGGAAGGAAAAAAAUCAGAUCUCAAGCUUGCUGGGACAAGCAGUCACCUAGCAAACAGAUCUGCAACAGCCUUGAAGACAAGGUUCUCUCCUACUUUGGCCUUCAUACUAUUUUGUAUGCCUUCUACUCCAAGGAUUGAGCCCUUCAGUGACUGCAGUAACACAAGUUUACUCGAGCAAAAUCUUCCUGGCUGUGCUAGAUACUACACAGAUCAGUAGCAGCUCUGUUCAGUGCAGUUACUACAGUACCAGAAAUUGUUGGGAUCCAGAACUUCAGCAGCCUUCAUGAGUUCUGCUAACUUCCAGAAAUGUAUGGACGUCACAGGCCAGAUACCCUACUGCAACUGGUUUGGAGUCACUAUGGAUUUUUGGCACAACUUUCUUUGAUGAUGCCAAUAAAUAAGACCACUUGGACAUCUGGGGUGGAGGCAAGUCUAAUUCUUCAGUUGCAAAGCUGAGAUCAAUUUCUUGGCCAAUUUUGGUAUCUGAGAUACACCUUAAAUUAAAAGAAAUGUCAGCAUCAAGAAAAGGUCAGCAUUUCCAAAAUAUGAAGAGUUUUUCCUCCAAACCUUUUAGCCAUUGGACUAUUGAUUUUAAAAAUUUUGUUUUCUAAGUUGCCUUCCCCGCUUCUUAGAAAACUUGCUAUUUUUUUCUCAAUUUAAAGACAUUAUUGAGUUUCCCUAAAAAUACUGUCAAGCAAGUUGUAGUGCCCCGGAUUUGAUUGUCGAAACAUGGUUCGUAAUGAGAUUCUAAUUAGAUUGUGAUACUUAAGCCUGGUGUGAAAAGGGUCAGUCUCUUAAUCGUGUUAGGCUUUGAAGAGAUUACAGGAGUGACUUUUUCCUCCUUACAGACCGUGCACUAAGAGCCACUUCUCUUUAACUAGAUUGCAACACUAAAUGUAACUCGAUAAAAUGUUGGCACGUUGAGCUGUAUUAAGUAUAGAAUCACACGCAAAAAUUUACUCAUUUUGUAACCCCAACAGCAGUGAAUUGCAAUAUGAAAAAGGGCAUCCCACAUGUCCCUCUCCUAGAAUAAACUCUUGGCAAAAUCACAAAUGUCCAAUUAAACAAGCACUGUGAAUUCUAACAGGAUUUUGUUCUCCUUCCAGACCUCAAUUGCAGAGGCAAAUUCACACAGAAAUAAAACUACCUCUAACUUCAGCCUCCCAAUGAGUUUUCUCUGACUUGCUGCUUCUGUGUAGGCCAGAAAUAACAGUUGGACCUACAGAAGACUGAGAAAUAAAAAGAUUUCAUAAACAAUACUACUCCUAUAAAAGAAUGCUGGUAUCUUAACACAUACUAAUGCCAACCCACGCCCACCAAGCAUGUCCUAUUUCACAGAAAGGACAAACUCAUGCUUGAACUAUAAAAUUCUAGAUCUGAAGAAAAAUGCCUUUCAGCAUGGUC